UACGUAGGUGGCGAGCGUUGUCCGGAUUUAUUGGGUUUAAAGGGUGCGUAGGCGGCUUUGUAAGUCAGUGGUGAAAUACUCCAGCUUAACUGGAGGGGUGCCAUUGAUACUGCGGAGCUUGAGUACAGAUGAGGUAGGCGGAAUUGACGGUGUAGCGGUGAAAUGCAUAGAUAUCGUCAAGAACACCGAUAGCGAAGGCAGCUUACUGGGCUGUAAACUGACGCUGAUGCACGAAAGUGUGGGGAGUCAAACAGG
rnacentral:rRNA from 1 species